UACGGGGGGGGGCAAGCGUUGUCCGGAAUCAUUGGGCGUAAAGCGCGUGUAGGCGGCUCGGUAAGUCCGCUCUGAAAGUCCAGGGCUCAACCCUGGGAUGCGGGUGGAUACUGCCGGGCUCGAGUCCGGAAGAGGCGAGUGGAAUUCCCGGUGUAGCGGUGAAAUGCGCAGAUAUCGGGAGGAACACCAAUGGCGAAGGCAGCUCGCUGGGACGUGACUGACGCUGAGACGCGAAAGCGUGGGGAGCAAACAGG
rnacentral:rRNA from 1 species